rnacentral:rRNA from 1 species
AUUGAACGCUGGCGGCAGGCCUAACACAUGCAAGUCGAGCGGUUGAGGGGAGCUUGCUCCCUGAUUCAGCGGCGGACGGGUGGGUAAUGCCUAGGAAUCUGCCUAUUAGUGGGGGACAACGUUUCGAAAGGAACGCUAAUACCGCAUACGUCCUACGGGAGAAAGCAGGGGACCUUCGGGCCUUGCGCUAAUAGAUGAGCCUAGGUCGGAUUAGCUUGUUGGUGAGGUAAUGGCUCACCAAGGCGACGAUCCGUAACUGGUCUGAGAGGAUGAUCAGUCACACUGGAACUGAGACACGGUCCAGACUCCUACGGGAGGCAGCAGUGGGGAAUAUUGGACAAUGGGCGAAAGCCUGAUCCAGCCAUGCCGCGUGUGUGAAGAAGGUCUUCGGAUUGUAAAGCACUUUAAGUUGGGAGGAAGGGUUGUAGAUUAAUACUCUGCAAUUUUGACGUUACCGACAGAAUAAGCACCGGCUAACUCUGUGCCAGCAGCCGCCGUAA